AUACCUUUCUCGGCCUUUUGGCUAAGAUCAAGUGUAGUAUCUGUUCUUAUCAGAAAGAAAGAAGAGAACUUUAGGGGGUUGGAAAGCAUUUUAUUCUUUUCAAAACAGGUGUAGAGAGGCAGUUGUGGGACUGGAAAACCACUCUAACUCUUUUUGGGCUUCUAGUGAUUCCGAUGAUCCUCUA
rnacentral:snRNA from 1 species